GGCGAACGGGUGAAUAACACGUGGGUGAUCUGCCCUGCACUUCGGGAUAAGCCUGGGAAACUGGGUCUAAUACCGGAUAGGACCAUGCUUUAGUGUGUGUGGUGGAAAGUUUUUCGGUGCAAGAUGAGCCCGCGGCCUAUCAGCUUGUUGGUGGGGUAAUGGCCUACCAAGGCGACGACGGGUAGCCGGCCUGAGAGGGUGUACGGCCACAUUGGGACUGAGAUACGGCCCAG
rnacentral:rRNA from 1 species